AUUGAACGCUGGCGGCAGGCCUAACACAUGCAAGUCGAGCGGAUGAAGGGAGCUUGCUCCUGGAUUCAGCGGCGGACGGGUGAGUAAUGCCUAGGAAUCUGCCUGGUAGUGGGGGAUAACGUCCGGAAACGGGCGCUAAUACCGCAUACGUCCUGAGGGAGAAAGUGGGGGAUCUUCGGACCUCACGCCAUCAGAUGAGCCUAGGUCGGAUUAUCUAGUUGGUGGGGUAAAGGCCUACCAAGGCGACGAUCCGUAACUGGUCUGAGAGGAUGAUCAGUCACACUGGAACUGAGACACGGUCCAGACUCCUACGGGAGGCAGCAGUGGGGAAUAUUGGACAAUGGGCGAAAGCCUGAUCCAGCCAUGCCGCGUGUGUGAAGAAGGUCUUCGGAUUGUAAAGCACUUUAAGUUGGGAGGAAGGGCAGUAAGUUAAUACCUUGCUGUUUUGACGUUACCAACAGAAUAAGCACCGGCUAACUUCGUG
rnacentral:rRNA from 1 species